UACGAAGGGGGCUAGCGUUGUUCGGAAUUACUGGGCGUAAAGCGCGCGUAGGCGGCUUUGUAAGUUAGAGGUGAAAGCCCGGAGCUUAACUCCGGAACUGCCUUUAAGACUGCAUCGCUAGAAUUGUGGAGAGGUAAGUGGAAUUCCGAGUGUAGAGGUGAAAUUCGUAGAUAUUCGGAAGAACACCAGUGGCGAAGGCGACUUACUGGACACAUAUUGACGCUGAGGUGCGAAAGCGUGGGGAGCAAACAGG
rnacentral:rRNA from 1 species